AAUCGCGCGCCUCUUAUUCUUAUUUCGUUCUAUCUUUUGGCGGACUCCUUCUUCCUCAACCAUCGCUCAAACUAUUCCAAGUUCCCUAUCAUUCAUUGUCUCUCUCCUGCGACAUCCAAAUACUCAAAAACUGAAAUCCAUUGCGCCUCACACUAUGGCCGCCGCUGCGCCGUAGUCAUUGUCGAGUUGCUGUUGCGCCUUCCUCAUCGUCAAGCCGCUGCUGCGCCGCCGACGUCCUGUUUUCUGCUUUCAAUCGCCGAUGUGCCUUCUGCCCAUAACCUAGGCAUCGAUUUUGCUCAUCGUGCGGCGCUGCCACCAGUGUUCUCGCCCCAAUCGAAGAAGCCUAGGUUUUAAUACAUUAUUGUAGCCGAACAAGGGAAUCAAAAUUCUAAACAAAUUCAUCUCAUUGUUCUGUAAUUCCAGCAGCGGUAGCCGUUUCUAUAAACCCCUCCUCCAACCGGACCACCGCAUCUGUUGGCCAGCUACCUCCGUCCACCGACUUCGACCCAUCUACCACUGUCCACUACCGCCGACUACACUCCAAAAAUCCCCCAUUCCAGUCGCUGCCGACAUCCAUCAGCCAGCCACAAAUAGUGGGUAAACGAUAUAGGGGAUUCAUAAUUAAUGGAUUUAGGUUCCAUGUGAAAGAAUAUGAGACACGAAGAAGAACUCAAAAUAUUAAUUUUGCUCGAUUAACUCAACAUGAUGAACCAUUUAUAUUGGCCUCACAAGUAGAACAAGUUUUCUACGUUGAAGAUCCAAUUGAAAAAUGGUGGCAUGUUGUUGUAAAGACAAAGGCGAGAGAUAUGUUUGAUAUGGAUCCUAUUUUGAGCAUAGAUGCCAAUGCACUUCAUCAAACUGGUGUUUUUGAUCAGCAAGUUCAAGAUGAAGUUGAAACCAUUAGUUUGGUUAGAGACGAUGUAGAAGGAAUUAUAGUUUGAGCAGGCGUGCAGUCACAAAGCUCUGUUUUGAAUGAAAAUCUGUGAAGGAAGUUCACAAGAUGUAUACUCGACAUUUGGUUGGCAAAUGCAAACAGACAUACUGGCAACAUUUUGAUUUAGAAAGAUGCUUAGCGUCAAAUUAUUCUUAUCCCAAUUGAUCAUGGAUACUGCAUGCCUGAGAAUAUGGCUUUGGAUGAAGAUGAAAAUUGAUGCAGGAACAAGAUCAGAGGACCUUAAUGGAGGUGUUAUUUUUGCAUUUGGUUUGUUAUAGAAGAUAAUAAACUUUGUGACUAUUUAAUUUUUCUUGUUGAUGUUGGACAUGAAUAAUAGGGCUUUUCAAUUAUAUUGAGUUGUCAUUUGGAUUGUUUAGUUAUUGAAAUGUAGAUGAUAAUAUUUAUUGAUAUAUCAAAAGAAUAUAUUAUGAUUGUAUUUGUACAGUAA